rnacentral:rRNA from 1 species
CGGGGGGAGCAAGCGUUGUUCGGGUUUACUGGGCGUAAAGGGCGCGUAGGCGGCGCAACAAGUCACUUGUGAAAUCUCUGGGCUUAACCCGGAGCGGCCAAGUGAUACUGUCGUGCUAGAGUGCGGAAGGGGCUACUGGAAUUCUCGGUGUAGCGGUGAAAUGCGUAGAUAUCGAGAGGAACACCUGCGGCGAAGGCGGGUAGCUGGGCCGACACUGACGCUGAUGCGCGAAAGCCAGGGGAGCGAACGGGAUUAGAUACCCCGGUAGUCCUGGCCUUAAACGAUGGAUACUUGGUGUCCGGGGUUACAUAGUCCCCGGGUGCCGGCGCUAACGCAUUAAAUAUCCCGCCUGGGGAGUACGGUCGCAAGACUG